rnacentral:rRNA from 1 species
AGCUCAGAGACGACACCCGAAAUUGGCAGGCUGUACCGGUCCAUUAUCGUAGAUAUCUCAAGAAAACACCCGUGUCGUAAUGCGGCUUGCUGCAUCUAGUACUGAGUUCUUAAGAACUCAAAGCUAGGGGCAGCAAAGCAGAUUAGACACCGUGGUAGUCUUAGCACAAAACGAUCAGGACUUGGGGUGCCACCCGUUCGGGUGUCGUCUCUGAGCUAAAGCGUAAAGUCCUGCACAGGGGAGCACGGUUGCAAGACUGAAACUCAAAGGAAUUGACGGGGGCCCGCACAAGCGGUGGUACAUGCGGUUCAAUUCGACGAUACGGGAGGAACCUUACCUGGGCUCGAAAUGCUGGUGACCAGCUGUAGAAAUACGGCCUUCCCGCAAGUGACACCAGCAUAGGCGUAGCAUUGCUGUUGUCAGCUCGUGCCGUGAGGUGUUGGGUUAAUUCCCGCAACGAGGGCAACCCCUGCACACAGUUACUACUCGCAAGAGAGGACUCUGUGUGGAUUGCUCCGGAUUACGGAGAGGAAGGUGGGGAUGACGCCAAGUCCGCAUGUCCUUUAUGUCCAGGGCUACACACGUGUUACAAUGCAGGGCACAAACCGUUGCCAACCCGCGAGGGGGAGCUAAUUGGAAAAAACUCUGCUCAGUUCGGAUUGCAGUCUGCAACUAGACUGCAUGAAGCCGGAAUCGCUAGUAAUGGCGUAUCAGAUCGACGCCGUGAAUACGUUCCCGGGCCUUGUACACACCGCCCGUCACAUCACGAAAGUGAGUUGUACUAGAAGUCGCCGCGCGAACCGCAAGGACGCAAGCGCCCAAGGUAUGAUUCAUGAUUGGGGCGAAGUCGUAACAAGGUAACCA